AUACAUGCAAGUCGAACGAACUCUGGUAUUGAUUGGUGCUUGCAUCAUGAUUUACAUUUGAGUGAGUGGCGAACUGGUGAGUAACACGUGGGAAACCUGCCCAGAAGCGGGGGAUAACACCUGGAAACAGAUGCUAAUACCGCAUAACAACUUGGACCGCAUGGUCCGAGCUUGAAAGAUGGCUUCGGCUAUCACUUUUGGAUGGUCCCGCGGCGUAUUAGCUAGAUGGUGGGGUAACGGCUCACCAUGGCAAUGAUACGUAGCCGACCUGAGAGGGUAAUCGGCCACAUUGGGACUGAGACACGGCCCAAACUCCUACGGGAGGCAGCAGUAGGGAAUCUUCCACAAUGGACGAAAGUCUGAUGGAGCAACGCCGCGUGAGUGAAGAAGGGUUUCGGCUCGUAAAACUCUGUUGUUAAAGAAGAACAUAUCUGAGAGUAACUGUUCAGGUAUUGACGGUAUUUAACCAGAAAGCCACGGCUAACUACGUGCCAGCAGCCGCGGUAAUACGUAGGUGGCAAGCGUUGUCCGGAUUUAUUGGGCGUAAAGCGAGCGCAGGCGGUUUUUUAAGUCUGAUGUGAAAGCCUUCGGCUCAACCGAAGAAGUGCAUCGGAAACUGGGAAACUUGAGUGCAGAAGAGGACAGUGGAACUCCAUGUGUAGCGGUGAAAUGCGUAGAUAUAUGGAAGAACACCAGUGGCGAAGGCGGCUGUCUGGUCUGUAACUGACGCUGAGGCUCGAAAGUAUGGGUAGCAAACAGGAUUAGAUACCCUGGUAGUCCAUACCGUAAACGAUGAAUGCUAAGUGUUGGAGGGUUUCCGCCCUUCAGUGCUGCAGCUAACGCAUUAAGCAUUCCGCCUGGGGAGUACGGCCGCAAGGCUGAAACUCAAAGGAAUUGACGGGGGCCCGCACAAGCGGUGGAGCAUGUGGUUUAAUUCGAAGCUACGCGAAGAACCUUACCAGGUCUUGACAUACUAUGCAAAUCUAAGAGAUUAGACGUUCCCUUCGGGGACAUGGAUACAGGUGGUGCAUGGUUGUCGUCAGCUCGUGUCGUGAGAUGUUGGGUUAAGUCCCGCAACGAGCGCAACCCUUAUUAUCAGUUGCCAGCAUUAAGUUGGGCACUCUGGUGAGACUGCCGGUGACAAACCGGAGGAAGGUGGGGAUGACGUCAAAUCAUCAUGCCCCUUAUGACCUGGGCUACACACGUGCUACAAUGGAUGGUACAACGAGUUGCGAACUCGCGAGAGUAAGCUAAUCUCUUAAAGCCAUUCUCAGUUCGGAUUGUAGGCUGCAACUCGCCUACAUGAAGUCGGAAUCGCUAGUAAUCGCGGAUCAGCAUGCCGCGGUGAAUACGUUCCCGGGCCUUGUACACACCGCCCGUCACACCAUGAGAGUUUGUAACACCCAAAGUCGGUGGGGUAACCUUUUAGGAACCAGCCGCCUAAUGG
rnacentral:rRNA from 2 species